UUUUUCUCAUCUUCUGCAACCAUUAAAGAUACCCUUUUAUUUCAUUCUUAUAGACAAAGAGGAUGGCGAUAAGAUCACUCUGGACAACACAGAAUAAAAAGCAACAUUGAAUAGCAAAGCAAGUCAGUCCAGAAAUCAAAAUAUCUCCCAUUUCCUACAAUUCUUCACCUUCCUCAGCAGGAGGUCCUUCUCAGCUGAGUGGGGGGCAGCCUGUCAGCCCUGAAGCCAUAGUGGAGCAUCUUCGGGGCCAUCUCAAUGAGGCCAGUCGGAGCUGUGGAAACGGGAAGGGAGAAUAGAGAUAGAGGGAAGUGUGGACUGGAGCCAAUUAGAGUUGGCACUUUGAC
rnacentral:lncRNA from 1 species